GCCCCCAUCGAGAGCAUCAGCAAUCCGCUCGCCGAUGUCCUCGGGAGAUCUGGAAGUGGGCUCCCGACUCCUUCCUGAAGACGCGUCUUGAGGACACUGGAUGCGCCCUCAAGUAUAUCCCACCCAUGGCACAUCGUCAACAAAAUUCUGAAUAUGCAUGCUCCUGAAUGGUUUGGGGUGGUUCACAACGUCAUCUACUCAUCUGAUUGGAAAUUUGUAUAUGUUAUCUAUCAUCUGACCCUCCAUGGAACUGAUGUUGAG